rnacentral:snoRNA from 1 species
GAUUGUUUGUGAUGAGAAAGUGUCCCGGAGACACAAAUAGCAAUAAACCCAGCUCUUCGAUUUAUUAAAAUGAGAAGGAAUCUGUCAAACGCUCUGAGAUUUAAACAGUC